CUAGAGUCCCAAAAAUUAUUUCACGAAUUUUCCCCCGGGUUUAGAGCUUUUAGCUGUGAAAACAGCAACUUCCCGUUAACUUACCCAUCGCUAGGGCACCGACUCAUUUAACUUUGUUGUAUUUUAUUUUUAAAAUUUUUUCUUAAUUUUUUUUACACUUAUUUGAAUUAUUUAUGACUUCUCACUCUAGUUUACAUAUAGUUCCAGACAUUCUAAUUGUCCAGACCGACAUUGGUCACCGAAAAUAGUAGAACGUACGGACUAUCUAAAAUGAGGGUGUUAUAAUUCUUUCCCUCUAAUAAAAAUUUCAUCCUCGAAAUUUACCUGAUGUGCAAUUUAGCUCAAGAACCCUAAUUCUCAAAUUUCAAUUCAUACUCAUGUUCAAGACCACCCAUAUACAACUUAAAUUCAUUCAAAACUCAUCAACAUUUCUAUCACUAAGGCUGUCGAAAAUUUUAGUUGGUCCAUACAUGUAUGUUCUUUUAAUUUUAUGAAUUUUUAACUAAAUCCAUACACCUAACUUCAAAUUUAAAGAGAAAAAUGGAGAGAUAUAGCACUAACCUUUUGAUGAGCUAACUUGAGCUUGUAAUUCUUCACUAAUAUUAAUCCUUACCACUAGAGCAAGCUUGAGGCAACAAUUUGAAGAAGAAAUAGAGGAAGGGGUUUUAUGGUAUGAAAUUAAGGUUAUGAAGAGAGAGAAAUGAGAAAACUCUAAUGGAGGUUGAGAGGAGAAGAUGAGCAUAAAAUUUUUCAUUUUCUUUAGUUUUUUAUCCUUUUAAGAUGCUUGUUAAACUCCUAUUGGUUGGCAAUUUAAUUUAUUGUAAAUUUAUUAUCAAACUCAAAUUCUGGACUUAAUCUAAUGGAAUUGUCCACCAAAGUCAGGACACCAAAUCUGAUAGAACCAAUUCUGCCCAGAAAUUCUAAGUAUAGAUGUCAAUCCAGCCAGUUAUGGUAAAAUAG
rnacentral:misc_RNA from 1 species